AUUGUACUCCCUCCGUCCCAUAUUAAGUGACUCAAGUUUGCCGAAAUAUGAAUGUAUCUAUUCACAAAAAGCGUUUAGGUACAUGUAAUAAUCCAUCACUUAAUAUGGGACGGAGGGAGUAUAUG
rfam:Brachypodium distachyon strain Bd21 chromosome 1, whole genome shotgun sequence.